AAAGCUUCAGAAUUGAAAGAACGAUUUUGCAAGAAAACAAUCGAACGUUGGGAUUCUUUUUCUCGUAUUUCUGUGGCUUAGUUGCUCGAUUGAAAUAUGAUGGUCUCGUAAAGGUGAUAAAAAAUCAUUUAUAUAGGCUUGUAUAUUAGGUUAACUUUAUCGAUGAUUACCAUUGAAUCUAAUAUUUGCACUUAUUAUUAUUAUUAGAUAUAAAAGAGACGACCAUUAUUCAUAUGCUCCUUUCGUACGCUUAUAAUACCUUGCUUUAAUUAAUCUCAUAUAGUUUGUAGUUAAUGUAUCUAGCGAAAAAAUGAAAAUAGAAUUUGGACCUACCAAUUUUCCAAUUGAAUAUAAUGCUGCCACAUAGGAUUAAUUGAGUACUUAAUUGAUUGACACCUAAGCGGAGACUUUUUUUAAAUAUUACAAACUUGAGGUUACAUCUUUUUAAAUGUUUCUCAAUUAAUAUAUAGGGGAUAAUAUAUAUGUGUAUAUAAAUGUGGGUGUGGGUGUGAAGAUGCUCGAUUACGAUUACAAGUUGAGACACUUGUCGUCUCUUUUCUUUCCUUUUAAUGUUUUGCUCUCUCCUCCCCCUCAAAACCCAACUUCUGAUAACUAAAAUUUUCAUUGGAUAGCAAUUCAUAUUCUCUGUAUCUUCCGUAAUUAAUUAAUAAGUUUCGAGUAUAUAGCUAGGGUUGAUGUGAGAUUUGUAUAUCUAGAUGGAUCUAUUUCUAUGUUGGUUUUGGGAGGCUGAAGCUGCCAGCAUGAUCUGGUAAUCGCUACAUACGACAUAUAUACAUACACAUGCUAAUUUAAUUUACUUCCACAUAUAUCAAUGUAUCUCUCAAAUAAUAUAUAAUCUUUUUUUUUUUUGCUAACAUUUGGAUCAUAUAUAAUCUUAGUGUUAAAAAUGUGUUUUCUCCUCUUUUUCAUGGAUGCAUGCAUGUAUGUGUGUGUAUAAGUGUAUAGAUAGUGGUACCAGAUCAUCCUGCGGCUUCAUUCACUCAAAUCACCAACAAUGAACUUAAGCUUCUUAAGAAAAACGAUUCCAGUCGACUUUUACGACUUCCCUGGGUUAUCAUUGGAGGUACCAUUGACUAAGGAUCAAGCCUUCUAUAAUAUAGGUUGUGACACAAGUAACCAGUGGUUGGUAUUAGAUUAUCUGCGUUAAUCAGCACGAGAACAACUCGCCAACUCCAGCCUUUGUUUCCAAGAUCUUUCAUUUGGAGCUGGAGAACACAUGAUCGAUAUAUGGAUUGUAUUAAGAUCAUGCAUAUUAAUUUCCUUACUUAUACUUGCAUCCAUUAUGUCUUUUGUUCAUUCGUAAGGAUUUAGUGGUUUGUCGAAACAAUAAGUACAACGCCCUUUUAUAGUAUGUUUUAGAACUUUUUACAAAAUUAUCUAUGCAAACUGUAUACUCCUUAAUUUUUUUUAUGAAUGUUUGUAAUAUGCAGCAGUCUUUUCUAUUGCUUGAAUUUUUUUGUAGGUAUUACUUCACUGUAGAAACUUUAUCACGUAUGGCUUCAUAAUUUUAACGCUUUUAACCAAAAAGUCUUAAUACAAAAAACAUAUGCAAUUGCUUAACAGAAGAACAACAUUGUAAUCUGUAUCACAAUUCACACUAUUAGUAUAUAUUUUGUGGGAAUAUAAGUUCUGAUCUCGUAACAAUAGUAGACGGACACUACUCGCAGUUUAUUGAAAAUGAUGUUGGUUUGACCUAAGUUUUGGACUUUUAAUACAAAGAUUUCUAACGCUGAUAAGGAAAAAUUAUCUAUCUCUAUAGUAUUAUUUGAGAAAUUAGGAAAUCCUACGUGUUGCACUCAAUUUAGUCUUUAUGACGGUUAAAUAUAGAGAUAGAAUUUAUGAAUAAAAAUUUCAUUUAAACUCCAGACUAAUUUUUAAUUUAAUAAUUUAUUUUAAUUAGAUUUUUUUGUUUAGUUUCUGUCUUAUUUUUUCUAAGAACAUUAUAAUAAUAAAGGAAGCAUUUAGAAAGCUUAAAAACAAAUUAUAAACGAAAGUAUAUUUAUAUAUGAUGUGUUUUCAUAUAAAAAGAAGAAGGAAAUUUCACAAAAAUAUUCUUAAUAUUAAUACACAAAAUAAUCUUCCCUUUAACACAUAAUUUUAAGAAACAUAAAAUAUUUCAAUUUGGUCAUCUAUGCAAUUUCCUAUCAAUCCUCGCUUUAUUUUUUCUAAUAUUUUUUAAAAAAAUUUAUUAAUAAUAUUGCGAAAAUAUACUUAGAUAAAUAAAAAUAAUUAGAAUUAACUUUAUUAUAAUCAAAAAUAGUUACACUACAAUUUGAAGUUAAAAUAAUAUAUGUAGUUUAAUAUACUCACAAAAUGAGUAAUUCAACUAAUUCAGUUUAUUAUAUCCAAAAUCAAAUAUCUAACUAAAAUAAUAAUAUACUAUUUUAUAAUAAUAUUUUCUUUAUUUUAUAAUUUUAAUUAUCAGAUGACUCAAAACAUUUUAAUAAUGAAAAAUAAGUUAUUAAUCAGUUGUUACAAUAUAAAUAUAUUAGUUUUUUUUGUAAAAUUUAUAUAUGCAUGAGAUUUCAAAAUACUGUCCUUAUAUUCAUUUAAUUUUAAAUCGAACACUUUUUUUCUAUUUUACUCUCAAAACAAUAUAUAUUUUGUUAUACAUAAUCUUACUGAACUAUAUUUACAUAUUUGAGACAACAAUCAAUCAAAAUGCAAAAUAAAUAAAGUAAUCAGAAAAAAUAUGUCUAACUAAUACAAUAUAAUACUAUUAACCGUACUGAAUAGAUAUUACAUAUACAAAAUCAUAUGUCUAACUAAUACAAUAUAAUACUAUUAAUUGAAAUUAUACAAAAUAAUUAUAAAUAAUUUAAAACGAAAAAUAAAAUAUCAAUCUAUUAUUAUAAUACAUUUAUUUUAUAAAUUAUAUUCGUGGAUGAGUACCGAAAGGAUCACCUAGUUAAAUAUUAAUUAACACUGUACAAUUACAGAAGUUAGAGAAGUGAGAACUAGUAUAUUCAACAAAGUCAUCCACGACAAACAAUAAUUUUUUUGAGGAAUGAAUGGCAAGAAAUGUGAUUGUAUAUCAAACAUAACGUGACCAGUCAGUUAGUAAAACUUUCUUGAUCACUAAGUAAUGUGCAGGUAAGUAGUCACAUCGGUAACCACUUUUCUUAAACAACCUUGAAAAAAAAACCUUUUAUAUGUUGAUUAAGCUGUCUAACCACCACAUGUAAUUGCCUUCAAAAUAAUAAUUAAGAAUAGUGAUGGAAAACAGAACUGAUAUACUAUUGUUUGGAGGAUUUUAGAGAUCUUCCGAACAAUUAUUUUGUUUUUCAACUAAUAUUAAAUUGAACCAUUAUUUUAUUUCACCGAAGAUGAUCGAUUGCGCUUAUGUAUUCUAUUAAAAUAUACUCAUUAUUUUUAUCUACUAUUGACAAGUCAUAAUAAAAUUAUUUAAAUAAUUACUUUAACAUAAUUGAUUAUUUACAUGAAACAAUCAAAUACAUUACAUUUCUAAAAAUCUUAAUAUUUUUAAUAAUGAUAUUAAUAAUAAAACUAGAAAUUUUAAUUUUUUUGGUAGUAACAAAAUCGUCCGAGAAACAAAAUCUGACAAAAAUUCUACUAAUAUUUUUAAAUAUGUUUAUAAAUAAUUAAUUAAUUAAUUUCGUGUUAGUAAUAUAAUACUAUUAUAAAUUAAUGUUAAUUAAAAUUUUAUAAUAAGUCAAAAACAAUUCUAUGCUAUUUGUUAGAAAUUUAUAACUAUAAUUUAUAUUAUAUUAAAAUAGAAGUACUAUAUGAAUUAAAUAUGAGAGAAUACUAAAUUGGUAAAUUAAUUAUUAACCUAUUAUAUAUUUUUUAAAAAUAGUUACAUUUAAAUAAAUUAUCAUCUAUAUCUUAUUAAAAUAAAAGUACAAAGUAAAAUUACCCUUUUGAUUUGAAACUUAUUUACACUUCUAUGCCCCUAAUAUAUUUAAUGAUUCUAAAUUUAAGUUUCCUUUGUCCUUUUUCAGUUCAGUUAAUGUACUAAAAUAAUUAAUAGCCUACAUUUUAGGAUUUUUUUUGUCUUUUUCUAUUUAAUUAAUACAUUUUCCUAAAUCUAAUUUUAACUAAAAAUCAUGGUAAUAAUUAUUUAAGAAAAUCAAUUUGUAAUUACUAUUACUAGAGAUUUUCCCGCCCGGGUUUUUUUGUAUAUAUUAAAUGAAUUAUAUAUAAUUUUAUCAGAGUAUUUGAAUAUAAAAUAUUAAUUAUUUCUUUGUUCAUUUUUUCAUUUCCAAGUUAAAGUUCAGUAAACCAAUGUAUAUCCGCCAAUUUCAUUUGCCAAAAAUUUCAGCCGAGAGUAUUUUUACCGAGUUGGACCACUUCAGCCGAGAGUAUUUUUACAGAACAUGAAAUAGUUCAUUCGGAGAGGAAUAUGAAUUUAUUUCAAUUUUAUACCGACUUUUAUGUUUACUUCAACAAAGAUGUUUUAUAUUUUAUAAUUUAGCAAUAGUUCACUAAUAAAUUAAGAUCAAUAAUGUUUGAUCUUUUAGGUGUAUUAGUUGAAUUGGUUAUUAAUUAACUGAAAUUUUUUUAGUUACAUUGAAAUGAUAAAAAUUAUUUAUAAAUUUAUGUACUUUAUUUUAUUUAAGUUUAACUAUGUUUUCUUGUUAAUCUUUUGUCUUUAACGUUUGCAUAUUUUGGUUUAAUUUUUUACAGUGUAGUGUAUUUUUAUAUAUUCAUCUAAUCGUAUUGUGGAAGGUAAAUACAAUUUCGCAAAUUAGUUCAAACUCCAAUUUUUCAUUUUAUUUUUUAAAAAACAUUUUUAAACAUUUAACAUACUAUAUGAAAUCUGUAGGUUGUUGUUUGUCACAGAAAUUAUCUAACAGGAUAUUUAUGAUUGAUAUAGUAUCUUAAAUUUUGUUUUUCCAUUUAUAUUACUCUAUCUUUACAUGUUUAUUUAUUUAUAUUUGGCUUAUAGUUAAUGGAAUAUAUUUGAUGCUUUUUAUUUUAUUUGGUUAAGCCUUUGUUAUUACAUGCCCAACUCUGUUUCGUGUCUGCCAUAGUUAGACUUAAAAUUGUCUCUCCUUGUAAUGCUUUCAGGACACAUAUGUGUACUGUUUAUCAACCAUGAAGAUCGAGUACAUUGUAUCAUCGGACUAAGGAAAACGCAAACCUGAAACGCACUACCUCUCCAGAAAAAGAUCUUCAAAGAUUAUGUAUUCGCGAUACAUAGCUUUGAUUAUCUCCAGGCCACAUAUAGAAAAACAGUGAGAAGAGUAUACAUAAACAACAGAGAAAUAUUCUCAAAGUAGGAGCUCCCUUUAGUCUGUAGCAACCAUUCUCCACAAUUCAUCCAUAUCGAUCCUUUGAUAUUGGUUUUGUACAACAUAUGAUGGUAACACAUCAUCUCUUAAAUGUGUGAUGCUAUCUUUGACAGAAAAUGCAUAAGAUUUGCGCCUUUAACAAUGGUGUUGGCGAUCUCGAAAGAUAAGAUUGAGAUCUUAUUCCAUUUAGUCAUCGUUGCAGAAAAAAUACCCCAUAUAAAACCCUCGAUAACUGCAACAUGACAGGAAAAAUAUAUUUUUAGGACAAUACCAUAAAACUUAUAAACUAAUAGUCAAAUACAUAAGAUGGUCUGAUGUGAGACACACACUUACCAUGUAAUCUCCCAACAAAAAUGUUAAGAUACUAAGCUCCAAACCUUGAGAAGUCAUCAUCAAUAGCAUCAUAGGAAUAAAACCCAGAGUAAACUGUUCUACUAUCAAAUUGAGUAGCUACCUGAGUUGUAUAAGAUUGUGAGAUCUAAUUCUGGAGUUGUAUAUGAGUGGCUACCAUCCUAUUGUGAGCUCCUUAUCAAAUCUUCUUCCAAAAUAAGAUUUUGGGCUCAGCUGAAACCAAAGUAGUUCUUUCAAAACUACCACGCUUUCCAAAUGUUAUAAGAUAAUAACUUUUCAUUGGACCACUGGUUUUAGCAUUUUAAAGUUUUUUGUAGCCUUGUGUUCCUUAAACUUGAUGGGUUGACAAAAAGGAAACUAGAAGUCAAAAGAACCACCAGUGAUAAGCACAUACAGCUUUGCAUGCUGAGAUGGAAGGGUUACUUUAGGCAGCCUCAUAUAUGAGAGACAGAAGGAUCACUUCGGUACGGUUUGAGACGGACUGCUUGGACUUAGUGGAUAUGACUACAAACCCGAUGGACUGGCCAACAUUCGCGACAGAGAUCGAGGUGUUCCAGAUGUUACAGGAUGACUUCGAAGAUGUGAGACUAUCUCAUAUUCCUCGGAGUCGGAAUGGCCGGGCAGACAUGUUAGCAAACGAUGCAAGGACCAGAGGUUAUAUUUUCUCCCAUAUAGAUCAUACCCGAACAGAUGGAGAUGCUCCUCGGAGGAUCGGCUUGUCUGUUCUCCACUUGAUUUAGCUUAGAUGGGUAGACGACAAAAAGAAAGCACACACAAAAAUACAAUCUGAAACUAAUGUACUUAAAUAUUACGCAUUUGCACGGAUGAAGAAUGAAUAUAAUCGAAGAUAACAAAAGGAUAACUUACUUGUUCAGAACUAUCAUAAUACUCCUUUCCAGCCAGCAUAGUAAUGAUCGAGAGCUGACGUAUUGCUUCCCCUGUAUUUCGAAGUAUAACAUAACACAUUAAAACCACAACUAAACCAGUUUUGAAGAAGGUGGAAAUUACCCUUUUAUGUUAACAUAAUAUAUAGUGAGGGAGGAUCGAUAUUGAACAGGCUGGAUGAUUUUCCUCUGUUAUAGUCAUGUAGACAUUUUGAUGAAGCAUGGUAUGGAAGACAGCAGUUACACCUGAGAUUUGGAAAGGCAGUGAAGGUUUAGGGUUACAUGGAAAAGGAGAGAGAUGAAGCGGCUGGAGGCCUGUAAAUCAGACGGAAGCGUAAUCCCGAAUCCAAUGGUUUGGUGAGUUGUCAUUGAAUUAUAGAGAAGCAUGAGACUCACCUGAGGUUUGAACAGGUGUGAAGAAUCGAUGUAAUUUUCUAAAAAUGAUUUAUAUAAGAAGAGAAACAAAGGGAGGUAGAAAGAUAGAUAGCUCACUCAUCAAGAUAGGAGUUAAGAAAAGAUUGAGAGUGGAUCAGAAACGAAGAUUUUCAUUAAUAAUUGGCAACAAUGAUGGAGAAGUGAAAGAGACAAAUGAACGUGAAAGGUUAGUGUAAAUUCCGAGUAAGGAAGCCAGUGACGUGGCAAAUGAAAUACAUCUGAUUGGGUGAUUUAAUUUGCUGAGAUGGAUAGCCUCAAUGCUCUGGUUCAAUCUCUUUUAUAUAUUGGGAUAUACAUAUCUUAUACAAUAAAGCUGAGUUUUCUCUCACCUCAGCUCUCCACGUCCUCAAGGAGAGUGGGGCUUUUGCCGACACGUGUCAGCAUCAGAAAACUCUUUGUUAUUGGUUUGUGUGAAUCGCCUACUACGAAACUCGAUCGUCAUCGGUUACAAAUCAAUUACUCUCCUCUUUUGUAAUCGAUUCACAUAAAACUGUAUUUAGAAAGCUAUACGAGUGGUUGAGGGAUUAGGUUUUGAGAUCCCGAAUCGUCUGAGAGGACGACUAACACGGAGGCGGAGGAUGGGCUGGAGAUGGAAGGAAGUUGGGUAGAAAGGACGCUGGAGGGAGUAGUAUUGGUGAUGAAGCUAGCUUGCAGCGAUGACGUAGCGGACAGAGAUGAUGGCGAUAGUUGAUUAUAACAUGAGAGGUAAGUAUUUCCGUGAGUGAGUGAUAGAAUGAUUAUGAUGGUAGCUUAUUUUCUUUGAAGUAAAUUGUCAAGAGGUAUACUGAACAGCUUUUGCAAUGUCUCCACCUGCUAAAAAGUUCUACAGAAGCAGAGGAAAAAAAGAUCAAACUCUUGGUAAGUUUCAAGUGUAUAAGAGCUGGUUAUUGACUCCAAAUUUUGUUUCUUACAAUUAUUAUGCAUGCUAUCUUUGAGUCUUCAUUAUCUUCCUCAUUGUUCUAUUCUUCAAUUUUUGUCCAGCGGUGGAUUUUUUUGACAUAGACUGAAAGCUUGAGAUGUUGUUCCAGUUGUAAAAAGGAGGAUUUUUUUAAUAAUAUGUAAAAUUCCAUUGGUUACCUGCAGACAAAGACAUGGAAAAGGAUACGUGCAACUUUAAGUCAAUGACAUAUGAUGAUCCAAUGGAUUUUGGGUUUGGCUUACCAGAAAAUAAAGAUAAGAAGCAGAAUUCGUUCAAGGUGUGAGUGUAACAACAUCAUAUGCUUCUUAGACGUAUCCUUUUGAUCAUAAUGUGGGUAAAGUUUACUCUUCUCAGAUGCUCAGUACACUCACGUGAGCUUCACUUCCUGUUCUCGCUAUAUUACCUUGCCAUAAAAUUGAUAUGGUAAGAGCUUAAUGAUGUAUAGAAUGUGAUUAUUAUCUUUUAAGUUGAAGGCAUGGUUUCUAUAUGGUGUGUUUAUGAAAUUCAUAUGUAUAAAAGAGAUGAUGAGCUUUCUGUAUUGAAAGAGGGGGUCUUCUUUUGAUAUCCCAGAACUGGAUGUUGUAAAAUGUAUGUCGAAUUGAUUUGCUUUAAUUUGAGUUGUUAGAUGUGACCACGAGGAGGCAAAUUCAGUAGACGAGCGUUUGUCAUUUCUUUCACGAUACUGAGGACAGUGACUUGAAAAUGCUUCAGAAGAAAACAGAGGUGGUAUUCUUCUUCUUGAAGGUAAAACAUAAGCCAAAUUGAAGAGAAGUAUCAGAAGAGCAAGGGUUGCAAGAUAAACCAUUCUUUCGCUUCUAUUAAGAGAAACCAUGUCGUCUGAAAAAGACAGAAACGUCUACCGAAGCCUCUUCAGUUUGCACUGACUCUACACCGACAAAUAUCUUGAACUCAUGUUGUCUCUCAGUUCUGACUCAUGCCUUACUCCCCCACCAAAAUUCUUACACAACAAUAGACAAGGAUAGAACAAACUUUAUCUGAUCACCGCCCAUACAGGUUCGAUUGAUGGACUACGCCCUACAUACUACGGCUUCACAUCAAGAGGUUAGAACUUACCUACCAUUCUUCUCAUGUUUUUACAGCAAUUCACCAUGAAAAGAAUAUAUGAAAUAUAUAUUUUGGUCAAUAUUGCAGGCUCUACAAUAGUUUCAAAUUACAUAAAUUAAAUGUAAAUGUAAAUCAUCAAUACAGCUUCAUGCCCUCCGAACCAAGUUGAUUUUAAUCCCUCCCUAAAUUAUUCACUCUCUAUUAUAUAGAGACAAGUCUGUUCCACUGUGUAACGUGGUGAUAUAUUCAUACUUUCUUUCAUACCAGAUAUUCAAUUGAUAGUGAGAACUCAGAGACUAUACAAUUUAUAGCAAACGUCAUCCCCAGUCCAGCACCAACCAACGCUGAUUCUCCACAAGGAAGCAUUGCUUACGGAAUAAUACUCACCGACAUCUUCCAAAACAGGUGAAAAUCUGAAAAUUUCUUAAGAAAUAUUACCUCAUUUUCCAUUGGUAGGAAAUAUUGUUCCCAAGUACCAAACAAACACAUUUAAGCUUCACUUGCUUGGAGCCAGUAAGUUUCUGUGUUUUUUUUGCUUGGAAUAUUGCUAACUAUAAAGAGCUAAAUGUAAAGAAGAAGAUCUUUACAGUUUAUCAAAUUUUGGGUACUAAUUCUAUCUGCAAAGCUCAUGUUAUUUCUUAUAUAUAACAUUCAUGUUACCGAUCCAACGGACGAAAGGUAUGAGAGAAUAGAGACAUAUCACAUCUUUUAUCACGGCCUUAGAGAAAGACGUGGGCAAGAAGAUCCAAGAGAAAGAUCAGGAGAUGAUGACCAAUGGUUAGAGAUCAGGAGAUGAUGACCAAAGGUUAGAAGUGUUGAGAAUAACUCAUAGGAGGGUAUACGCAUCCUUUAGUUAGUGUAUGCUGUAGGAUGUUGAUUUAAAUAGAUCCAUGACUAACAACUUUCCCAGUGUCUGAAACAUUGAUUGUAAAUGUUAGAAACUUAGAAUCAAUAUAAUACUGAUUUAUAUUAUUUUCUUGAGCAUUUUGAAAAAAAAUUAA